CACCCUUGCCAGAUUAUCGUACUCAGAGCAUAGUAUUUACCGGUUUCUGACGCCUAACUAUUGCUAAAAAACAUCAGGAUCUAAUUCUCUUAACGAUAACUAUAAAUAAGUUUCGUUAUUGGAGCUCAGAAGACAGUUUUGGGGUAGGAAGUCGGGAAAUAUAAGCGGCUGAGUAGUGAGUACGACAAUCUGGCAACGUUGCUCCACACACCCCGGCCGCCAUGCACCACACAUACAAGGCUCGACGCUGCUGCAGAAUCCGCCUCUUCAGGAAGGAAACAACCACCUGCAGGAUUACCAGAUAGCAGAGAAAGAGCACCAAGACCUCGAUCGUGUGGCAAGGAUGUUUGGACGCGGCGGAGACGGAGAGGAAAGGAGAGAGACGAUGCUGACACACACACACGGCACCCUCACCACAUCAGAUGUUUGAGUCAGAUUCAUCGCCUUAUAAUGGAGGAAAGCGGCCGGCCCACUUUCUGCAAUCCUGAGGACGAAGAGCGGCAUGUUGUGGAACUCACGGCCGCCCCGGAUGCUGAAGCCGAAGCCUCGCGUGCCGCGCUGCAGCUCCACGCUGUAGUACUCCCCGUCAUCGCCGGGCUCACUCUCAGCCUGAACCACCGCCAACACAAAGAGAACAGAACAAGAUCAGUGAGCUCCCCACACAUGCAACAAAGGGCAAGACUUCACUGUGCCUGACAGUCUCAUGAUGUGUCUGGUGUGAGGGAGGGGAGUUAUUGAGUAUUGCUGCAAUUAUCUUGGGCACACUGAGGUGCAGCAAGAUGUCUGAGUUCAGUUGAGUAAGGAAAAGAGGCCAUGCAACUCAUGCCCCGCGCCACUCACCCGCUGCGAGUUGGAGGUGGUGCUGGAGGCGUCGUCUGUGGAGGGAGAAAGGAAUCAUUCACAGGCUGAGUAAACCACCUCAGGACACGCUGCCCUCCUUACUAGAGUCUGAUGAAUUGAUUUUAUCUUUUCUUCCUACUUCAGUACAUGUCAGUAAACCAUUGCUAGAGCUCAAAAAUGUUUAUGUCAGAUUGAAAAGGUGGUUAAAAAUCCCCCAAACUAGGUGUCAAUGACCACACAGUUCUUCCAGGGUUGCACGAGAGGGUCGCUUCUCUCAUCAAGAAGCUGCCGUGACCCUGGACAAAACUCUCACAGCCUUUAGGUCACGAGACAAGAGCUGUACCCCCAGAGCCACCUGACCCCUGCUUUCACCUGGUUUUAAAUUUAUAUAAAUUAUCACAUUUUUUUGUUCAAAAUGAUAUAACUGAAAACAGGUACACAACAUAGAUUUUUUUGCUCAUUAUCUAGUUAAUUUCAAUGUACCUGCAAGGCAUUUUAAAACCACAGCAAAUAUCUCAAAUACAUGCAACAGUGUGUGGAAAAGUCAGAAGCUUCUAACUUUUGAAAUUUGAACAUCAUGAC